GGAGGCCACUUUUUAGUGGCUGAAGGAAGCAGACUCGGGUGGUGCUACCAACCUGUGUGGAAAUCUCAAGUUUCGCAACCAGUGUUCCGGCUGCAUGUUGGCAUUGCAUAAGAGCUUAUAAUAGAGGGGUUUGCUCUGGGCUGGAAGGCUGGUAAAAGGUUUCGUAUAGGGGUAAUAUGUGAGCCAAGAUCCGAAGAAUAAGAAAGAAUUAACGAGGUGAAGACAGAACUUAUUUUUAGGCACCGUGAGCGAAGAGCCUUCAAAGGCCCAAUGGCAGGAGGGAACAAAAUGUGUUUGAGAAGCUUAAAGAAGUCCAGCAGGGUGAGCGUGCAGUAAGCAAUGGCAGCGUAACAGGGGAUGAGGUGGGGGCGUUGCAUGUGAACCAAAACACGAAAGAUCUUGCAGACUCAUAAGGGAUUGUGUAGUAUGGACAGCUCCCAUGGACCAUCACCCUGUUUCCCCCAGUGGUAACAUCUUAUACAGCCAUCAUGUCACAACCGGGACCCUGACCCUGGUGCAGGAUGGGAGACUCCACCCCAGACCCUCAUCAGAUUACAGAGGAGCUGCUGUGAUGAGACCUGGAUGGAUGAAUGAACGUGGAGCAGGUGACUUACAGAGUGGAGAAGAGGAUUUUGUAGCGGUAGAGAGGAGAAUGCAAAUGAAGAUCCUUCUGAGAAGCAUAUCAAAGUAUCUCCUGCCACAAACAAUAGCCGCGUCACCAAGAAACAAAAUAUUGCCUCGGAGGGAGAUAUCUGCGUUUGGAAAACGGGUUACUCCUGUACCAGCCCCGAGACAGCACAAUUCCAUGUGGAUCCAAGCAUCAGAUUUAAACCCAGACUCCCAGCUGAGAUCAAACAGAUCUGUCAUUUCAGGUCAUCGUAUGUGGACAAAUAAGGCACUUGGGGGUACCCUCAGCCCCUCGGCAUCUUGGCCUGUGGGUUGCUCACUGAUGGCGUCUCCAAGGUUCUGCCAACCCUGUCUGGUGUGCAGGUGCAUAUUUAAGGGCUUUCAUGCCUUCUAGAAACCUCUCACCAGUGGAGCCCUGGGCACCAGCCAUGGAGGUCCUGUGCCUCUGUUUGCCAGGGCUGUGUUUCCUGGGGAAAUGAGCUCAUGUUUCUUUUGGACCUUGUCAAUUUCUGACCAUCCUUCCAGCUAAAGCUCAGCCGUCUUGGUAGCACUCUAUGAAACCCCCGGCCCAGGGGAGCGUCUAACAUUUACUCUUUCUGAUGAAACCAUGUAUUAGAUUAAACUUUUGUGCUAUUAUCACCUUAUGGAUAUUCUUUUUCUU